GGGUUCACGAGGAAUACUUGAGGCAACAUGCUGCUCAACAAGAAUACUAUGCUACUCAGUUUCAACAACAGCAAGCACUGAUACAACAACUAGCACAAGCCCAAGGGAUACAGGUUCCGAUGCCCCCCCACCUCCACCUCCCAUACAUUUUCCUUGGCCUUCACCUCCACCUCCACCUACCGAACAUCAGGUAUAUGAGACUCCUCCAGCUACCUUGCCGGCGCAGCAACAAGAUGACGGGUUAGACUUU